AGAGUUUGAUCAUGGCUCAGAUUGAACGCUGGCGGUAUGCUUAACACAUGCAAGUCGAACGGUAACAGGCCUUCGGGCGCUGACGAGUGGCGGACGGGUGAGUAACGCGUAGGAAUCUGCCUCAUAGUGGGGGACAACUUGGGGAAACUCAAGCUAAUACCGCAUACGCCCUACGGGGGAAAGCGGGGGACCUUCGGGCCUCGCGCUAUGAGAUGAGCCUGCGUUAGAUUAGCUAGUUGGUGGGGUAAAGGCCUACCAAGGCGACGAUCUAUAGCUGGUCUGAGAGGACGAUCAGCCACACUGGGACUGAGACACGGCCCAGACUCCUACGGGGGGCAGCAGUGGGGAAUAUUGGACAAUGGGCGCAAGCCUGAUCCAGCAAUACCGCGUGUGUGAAGAAGGCCUGAGGGUUGUAAAGCACUUUCAAUUGGGAGGAAAACCUGUCGGUUAAUACCCGGCAGCUUGACAUUACCUUUAGAAGAAGCACCGGCUAACUCCGUGCCAGCAGCCGCGGUAAUACGGAGGGUGCGAGCGUUAAUCGGAAUUACUGGGCGUAAAGCGUGCGUAGGCGGUUGUCUAAGUCAGAUGUGAAAGCCCCGGGCUUAACCUGGGAACUGCAUUUGAUACUGGAUGACUAGAGUUUAAUAGAGGAGAGUGGAAUUUCAGGUGUAGCGGUGAAAUGCGUAGAGAUCUGAAGGAACACCAGUGGCGAAGGCGACUCUCUGGAUUAAAACUGACGCUGAGGUACGAAAGCGUGGGUAGCAAACAGGAUUAGAUACCCUGGUAGUCCACGCCGUAAACGAUGUCAGCUAGCCGUUGGGCCUUUUAACAGGCUUAGUGGCGCAGCUAACGCAUUAAGUUGACCGCCUGGGGAGUACGGCCGCAAAGGUUAAAACUUCAAAAUGAAUGACGGUUCUUGCGGAAAAACUCAAGCCCACCCGGGGAGCUGGCGG
rnacentral:rRNA from 1 species